CCUACGGGCGGCAGCAGUGGGGAAUAUUGGGCAAUGGGCGCAAGCCUGACCCAGCAACGCCGCGUGAAGGAAGAAGGCUUUCGGGUUGUAAACUUCUUUUAAGGGGGAAGAGCAGAAGACGGUACCCCUUGAAUAAGCCACGGCUAACUACGUGCCAGCAGCCGCGGUAAUACGUAGGUGGCAAGCGUUGUCCGGAUUUACUGGGUGUAAAGGGCGUGCAGCCGGAGAGACAAGUCAGAUGUGAAAUCCACGGGCUCAACCCGUGAACUGCGUUUGAAACUGUUUCCCUUGAGUGUCGGAGAGGUAAUCGGAAUUCCUUGUGUCGCGGUGAAAUGCGUAGAUAUAAGGCAGAACACCAGUGGCGCAGGCGGCUUACUGGACGAUAACUGACGGUGAGGCGCGAAAGCGUGGGGAGCAAACAGGAUUAGAUACCCCAGUAGUC
rnacentral:rRNA from 1 species